rnacentral:rRNA from 1 species
UACGUAGGGUGCGAGCGUUGUCCGGAAUUAUUGGGCGUAAAGGGCUCGUAGGCGGUUUGUCGCGUCGGGAGUGAAAACCAGGUGCUUAACACCUGGCUUGCUUCCGAUACGGGCAGACUAGAGGUAUGCAGGGGAGAACGGAAUUCCUGGUGUAGCGGUGAAAUGCGCAGAUAUCAGGAGGAACACCGGUGGCGAAGGCGGUUCUCUGGGCAUUACCUGACGCUGAGGAGCGAAAGCGUGGGGAGCAAACAGG